GACGAACGCUGGCGGCGUGCUUAACACAUGCAAGUCGAACGAUGAACCCGGAGCUUGCUCCGGUGGAUUAGUGGCGAACGGGUGAGUAACACGUGAGUAACCUGCCCUUGACUCUGGGAUAACUGCGGGAAACUGUAGCUAAUACCGGAUACGACCCUCGGCGGCAUCGCCAGGGGGUGGAAAGAAUUUCGGUCAAGGAUGGACUCGCGGCCUAUCAGCUAGUUGGUGAGGUAACGGCUCACCAAGGCGACGACGGGUAGCCGGCCUGGGAGGGUGAGCGGCCACGCUGGGGGGGAGACACGGCCCAGCCUCCGGCGGGGGGGAGCAGGGGGGAAUAGUGCGCAAGGGGAGAAAGCCUGACGCACCCAGGCGGCGGAAUGGAGGAAGGUCUUAGAAUUGUAAAUUUCUUACACGGGGGACGAUAAUGACGGAACCCGGAGAAGAAGCCCCGGCUAACUUCGUGCCAGCCGCCGCCGUAA
rnacentral:rRNA from 1 species